AUUUUGUGUAGGAUGUAUGGAUAGGCUGCUGUUGGGUUAGGACAGCGAGUUCGAAACAAUAUUCAGAUGAAGAAAUAUUAAAGGUUAAAGAUUCAAAGACACAAACUAAAGAACGAGGAAUAUUACAACGUUUUAAAACACUGCUUGAAAGUCGACAGAACAAUUUAUCAUUGCACCAAAAGAAAUUCGUCAAGUGUCAGAUUUUCAUCACUGAGUGAGAUGGAGGCCUAUCAAGUCUGAAGAGCAAGAAGUUGCUGGGAGGGAAAGACUAUAGAGAACUUGAAGCUUUCUGAAACACUUCUUGAAAGAGGGAAAGACAAUUCAUCAUUAUAUCUAAAGACAUGCGGGGUUAUUCGUCCGAUUAUGCAUCACUGAGAGAGGUGGCUGCCUCGAGUCUAAAGAGCAAGUAUGUUAUUAAAAUCUUUUGAAUCUUUCUAAUUUACAUUCAUCACCACUAUUCACGGAUCCCCACAAUCAAUUUUAAAAUUGGUAUCUAUUACUAUUCCUAAAUAAGUUAAAAUUACUUUACUUAAUUUAAAUGCUAAACAUUUUAAUAGGCUUAAUACCAGGUGAAUUUGCAACCCAAUUUCUUAAUUGAAAACCGGCAUUAUAAAAUAUUAAAACUAAAAUCUAAAACGGAAGAUAUCACCAUAAGUUUUGUUCUAGCAGUCUCACAGCAGAUUGAAAACGCUUUUCAGACAUUGUAAAUUUGUGUUAUGUUAGGAUUUCUUUAAAAUGUAUACCAUAUAGGAACUGAAAUGGAAACACAGUAAAUUGUUCGCGCGAUGUACCUUUUGUCUAUUUUGAAACUACCGAUGGAGCCCAAUACGACUUUUUCUCUGUAUGUGACGAUAUAUAAGAUAAUUAAUGCAAAAUAUAUCGAACAUUUUUUUUUGCAAUAUUUUAAAUUACAAUCGUUCGUAUUUUGUCGAUAUCUUUAAAAUAAUUUUGAGUGCCGAAAAAACAAAUCAAAUUUGAUUAACUUCAAAAUACGAUUCCGGUCUACUUAUAGUUGGCAGUUUGGGACGUAUUUCGUGCAAUUUUCAAAUAGUGAUUUUUCAUUUAUUAAAUAAUCGUAAAAGUUUUCCCGACUAAAAUUCGAGUAACGAAGAACACAAAUAAAUUACUAUGACAAGAUAUUUUGAAUGCUCGCACCGGCUAUGAAUUGAAUAUUUUACUCGAGAGACAACUUUUUAUCCUCUGCGAUCUUACUUAUAUAUAAUGUCACAUUUGAAUUUGCGCUCGUUGUCAUAUUUCGACACUACUGAUGUCAAAUUUUAUUAGUGUUAUUACUUCUUUGGACAGUCACAAAAUUGGACAAGUCAGUAUUUUAUUAAGUAAUCGGAGCGCCUAAGUUUCUCCCACGGAGCACUUUGAGAACCUAUGCCUUAAUAGACCAGGGAAGAAAUUUUCGUAAAAGUGUUUGAAGUAUCGUUGUACAUGUUUAAUAGCUGAGUUUUAGGCGGAAUAUUGUACAAUUUUAGCAUCUCUUUGAAAAUUAGCUGUUUGCAUCUAAUAAUUAAAUAUUCACUCCAGCUCACCAUAUUAAGAUUUUGUGUCAACGCUUCCGAGUGGCCAAAAACUUAAUAUGGAUACGCAUUAUCGCAAAGUUACCUUAUGUCCAGGCUUGUCCAUGGGAAACGUGCCAUGAGAUGGGAUGGGAUAACACACCUUUGUAUUUCCCAUGGGACGCGUGGGACACGAAAACCAUAUGAUUUUCAGGGAAAUGAUGGUAAAAAAUUUCGUUAUGGAUUUCGUGUCCAUAUAUUUGAGCAUAGCUCUCUUGUUGGUUAUAAAGAGCAAAACAUAUUCAGCAUUAAUAAUAUACUUCGUGAAAGGGCUGAUGGACACAUAUAUAAUAGUUAGGAAUAAAAAGUUGACUAAGUCCGUAAAUGUUGUUGUUUUGCAUGUCUCUUCUUACAUGUAGUCCUAUUUAUUAGACGC